rnacentral:tRNA from 1 species
CACUAGUGGCUCAAUCCAGAGCGCCGAUCUUGUAAGUCGGAGGCUGGAGGUUUGACCCCUCCCUCGUGCUC